AAGUCGAGGGGUAACAGGGGAGCUUGCUCCGCUGACGACCGGCGCACGGGUGCGUAACGCGUAUGCAAUCUACCUUUUACAGGGGAAUAGCCCAGAGAAAUUUGGAUUAAUGCCUCAUAGUAUAUUUGAGUGGCAUCACUUAAAUAUUAAAGAUUUAUCGGUAAAAGAUGAGCAUGCGUUCUAUUAGUUAGUUGGUAAGGUAACGGCUUACCAAGACUACGAUAGAUAGGGGCCCUGAGAGGGGGAUCCCCCACACUGGUACUGAGACACGGACCAGACUCCUACGGGAGGCAGCAGUGAGGAAUAUUGGACAAUGGGCGAGAGCCUGAUCCAGCCAUGCCGCGUGCAGGAAGACUGCCCUAUGGGUUGUAAACUGCUUUUAUACAGGAAGAAACACUGGUAUGUAUACCAGCUUGACGGUACUGUAAGAAUAAGGAUCGGCUAACUCCGUGCCAGCAGCCGCGGUAAUACGGAGGAUCCAAGCGUUAUCCGGAAUCAUUGGGUUUAAAGGGUCCGUAGGUGGACAAUUAAGUCAGAGGUGAAAUCUUGCAGCUCAACUGUAAAAUUGCCUUUGAUACUGGUUGUCUUGAGUUAUUAUGAAGUAGUUAGAAUAUGUAGUGUAGCGGUGAAAUGCAUAGAUAUUACAUAGAAUACCAAUUGCGAAGGCAGAUUACUAAUAAUCAACUGACACUGAUGGACGAAAGCGUGGGUAGCGAACAGGAUUAGAUACCCUGGUAGUCCACGCCGUAAACGAUGGUUACUAGCUGUUCGGACUUCGGUCUGAGUGGCUAA
rnacentral:rRNA from 1 species